GGGCGGUUAGCUCAGUUGGUAGAGCGCAUACUUGACGUGUAUGAGGUUUCAGAGGUUCGAGCCCUCUACCGCCCA
rnacentral:tRNA from 1 species